GUGAGAUGUAUGUAGUUCAUUAUAUGACCCAUGUCUAAUUUGUUUAAUCUGAAUAGUGACUGGCAAAACAGCUAGCUUUGAUGUUCGAUCUUAGCUGGUGUUGAGGUGAAGGUCUAAAUCAGG